AACGAACGCUGGCGGCAUGCCUAACACAUGCAAGUCGAACGAGACCUUCGGGUCUAGUGGCGCACGGGUGCGUAACGCGUGGGAACCUGCCCUUAGGCUCGGAAUAACUCCCCGAAAGGGGUGCUAAUACCGGAUAAUGUCUUCGGACCAAAGAUUUAUCGCCUUUGGAUGGGCCCGCGUUGGAUUAGCUAGUUGGUAGGGUAAAAGCCUACCAAGGCGACGAUCCAUAGCUGGUCUGAGAGGAUGAUCAGCCACACUGGGACUGAGACACGGCCCAGACUCCUACGGGAAGCAGCAGUGGGGAAUAUUGGACAAUGGGCGAAAGCCUGAUCCAGCAAUGCCGCGUGAGUGAUGAAGGCCUUAGGGUUGUAAAGCUCUUUUACCCGGGAUGAUAAUGACAGUACCGGGAGAAUAAGCGCCGGCUAACUCCGUG
rnacentral:rRNA from 1 species